rnacentral:rRNA from 1 species
CGACCGGCGCACGGGUGAGUAACGCGUAUCCAACCUUCCCAUUACUGUGGGAUAACCUGCCGAAAGGCAGACUAAUACCGCAUAGUCUUCGAUGACGGCAUCAGAUUUGAAGUAAAGAUUUAUCGGUAAUGGAUGGGGAUGCGUCUGAUUAGCUUGUUGGCGGGGUAACGGCCCACCAAGGCGACGAUCAGUAGGGGUUCUGAGAGGAAGGUCCCCACAUUGGAACUGAGACACGGUCCAAACUCCUACGGGAGGCAGCAGU